UUGGAGGCUUCAACAAAGCUACUGCUGCCAACACCAUUUUCAACUCCUCGCUUGGCAUGCUAUGUGACCCGGACAGCAGGAGCAGCAGCCUAUGCCAAUGGUGAGCGGGCAAGGACUCAUCUUAGUCAAUGGAGGGAACCUCUAGACCCUUCAGUGACGCCAUGGAUACCCAUAGCGAUUUGAAAUGUUCAUUUCCUUCUCACGCUCCACAAAAUAUUUCACCCUCCCUACGGAAGUCCAGUGUGAUGCCUCCUCCCUCCAUCUCUGAGCUUGCCUUUUCUUUGCCUCUCGGAUGGGCCGUUGUUCUUCAGUUAUUGGCAAGGAUUCCUCGAGGUCAUCUGGAGGUGUCCUCCAGGGAAUAAAAGUAUCCCCUCUGUAUGGUGGAGAGGUUGGUGGUUGUACUUGCAAGGGCUGAGCUCUUGUUGCAGAUGAUUGGAUGUUGCUUAGGAACCUGGAGGUUUGACCUGGCACAGCUGGCCGGUGAGGUCUGGUGGGCACCAUCAUAGCAAUGGUGGCCAGUGGUCUCCAACGUCUGGUGAGGAAAGCUGAGAGCUGGAUGGCCAUCCUUCAUGUGGAUGUGAGCCUGAUGGCUUUGGCAAUGAUUUUGGCAAUGGGUGUUCCACAUGGGUUGGCAGUCUUUGGGAAGAAGAAGAAGAUUGUUUCCUAGGCAGCGAGAGAGGUGUCAGCCUUCGCACAAAGUGGGGUGCUGGCCUCAGCAGGGAGGGGCGAUCGGAAGGGGGAUCUUCAUUAAUUCCUCGGACUCUGGAACACCCCAGUUUCUUCUCCAUUUCCCUUCCCAUUUGCUUUGGGUCUGGAACAAAAAGAAGAAGGUGAAAUCAUUAUUUUAGAUGCAGCUAGUUUGUCCAUAAUGGAAAGUCUUAAUUUAUUCCAUUGUAUUAUAUCCAUAUUUAUACCUCUCCAAGCUGACUAUAAUUAAACUGACCCAACUUGUUCAAAUUUUGGGUAAUUUGUACCCCCAGAUAUCUAAAACUUUUCCUAGCUUUUGGAAUCUUCAACAUUGCUGUAAAAGUCUGCUAUAUAUGUGGUGAUGUAUGAAAAAAUGUUACCUCUGCUUUCUUAAAAGUAAUUUGUAAUCCUGAUACCCUGGAGGAACUGUCCCAGUUCUGUGCAUAAUAUUUUGCCUGCUUUGAUAGGGUCAGAGGUGCAUAAAAUUAUAUCAUCUGCAAAGAGGUCUGAUUUUUGUUCAUUUCUGUUUAUAACCACUCCUGUACCUUUGGGGGGAGGGGGGAAGUUUUACUUUAAGUAUAAUUGGUAGAGUGGAGAGAAAAAAAUGUUUAUGUAUGCUACCAUUGCUGCUUAAAUGAUUUAUGCCCAAAGAUGGAAGAAGGAAACAGUUCUGACAGAAGAAGAUUGGCAAUAUGAAAUAUGUAGAAAUAGCAAAACUAACCAGAGAAAUAAGAAAUCAAGAAGACAGACUUUUUAAAACAGAAUGGGGAAAAUUUAUUGACUAUUUGAAGAUACAUUGUAAACAAAUCAAAACAUUACUGGGACCGAUAUAAACACAUGCAGUAAGAGAUAAUAAAAGGUGAAAUAGGAGGAAAAUAAGGGGGAAAUAGUAAAUAUAUUUGAGUUGGACAUGCAGUAAUAAAAAAAAUAUAAAAUAAAUAACUGAGAAAGGAGGGGAGGGAAGUUGAGCGGAAGGUACAUUAGAUCUGUAAAGAUUUUGGGUUUUUUGUUAACAUGUUUAUAAAAACUGGAAAUGGAAAAUAAAUAUUCAUCAAACAAAAAUGUUUGUAACCAUUCCUGGACAAGAGAGGGCAUUGCAUACUUUGAUAGCAAAUGGUUCUAAAAUUAAUACAACCAACAGGAGUGACAGAGAACAUCCUUCCUUCUGAACUAAAAGGCCCCAAGCUUUCCACAUGAGGAAGUUACGCCAACCCCUGGAUAAUUUUAAUUGCUUAUGAUCCCAUUGGGGAGGAAUCUUUUCCCCAUCCUAUCUCCCUCCCUCUUUCUUCCAUGGAGAAAUAGUGCCACCCUGCUGCUGUUGCCAUAACACAUUCUGUCUUUCAUGAUGCUCUGCUAUGUGUCCCCCCCCCCCCCCCGGUAAACAUGAGGGUGAAUUUUUCCCCAGUGUUCCUCAAAUGCACCCAUGCUCAGUGACAAUUCUAGUCAGCAUCCCAUAGUGAGAACCCAUAGAACUGGGAUCAUAUGAACCUGUUUACUGCUGUCACCACAGUAAGAGCAAGAUUCUAACUGGCCAGAGAAUGUUAUGAUGCAAAAGGCAGCACAGAGUCAUGGGCAGUUGGCCUGAACUGAAGGUGCCAGGAAAACAAAGAUGUCUGUUAGGGGAACUGAAGAGUAACUGAAGUUAUGGCCAGUUUGAGUCAUAACAAGCCCUACUACACUCUCCUCCCAUUGAGGGCAUCCCCCCAGUGUGACCGGGUUAAUCUGGAUACCUAGUGAAGUGACGGGCACCAGCUAAAUCUUACACCUUUUAAAGUCACCUGUUUAUAUAAUUUGGUGAGAUAGGGGUCACAAGAGCAACAAAGAGCAUUAUUCAUCUAAGGAAGCCACUCCUCUCAAAGAACAAUUGCUGUUUCCGGUUCUCAGAUGAGAGCAGAAUCAAACCAACUUGCUUUUGGCUCUGGAUCAAUGUGGAUAAUUUAUUGAUGUGUACUUAUUGAUCUACUGCUUUUCCUCCCAAAGUGAAUGUUUUGUGUUGUUGCUCCCUGGAAACUCUUGGCUAGUAAGUUGCUUUGGACAAAGUGCAAUGUAACUUAUUCUACAAAGUGCAAUGUAGGUUGACAGUGGUUCUGAAACAAUUCUGUGAUUUUGAAGGCGCCUCAGUCUUGUUCGGCACAUCUCGUGAAAGUUAUAUUCAAGACUAAGUCCCAUUGAAGAAAACUGAAUAGGACUUAGUUGUGGCUUAUCUAUAUGCCAUGGGUGGUGCUGGGACUCUGACUACCUGGAGUGGACUGUGCCUGGUAACUUUUGAAAGGAAUCCCCCUUUCUCCCUAUUCUCUUGCUUCCACUUCCAUGUAUGUUGCCUUCUCUAAGUUGUUGAAAGAUCUACUCCAUUCCCCUGCUAUAAUCCCUUAAAACUUCUCAGAUGACUUCUCUGUCUGCUUCAUGGGACAAUGAAGCAGAACAUCUGAGCAUUAAAUGGCACCAUUUCCUACCUGCCAUGCCGAUAGGAGCGCUGAAAUAGCACAAACAUAAAACCAACCAAUGGAGAGCAGUCCUUUCACUUCUCAUGGAUCCAGCGUCCGCUCCAUUUCCUUUUUCACCACACCUUACUGCUGUCACCACAGCAACCACCAAGAUUCUAACUGGCCAGAGAAUGUUAUGAUGCAAAAGGCACUGUGGAGUCAUGGGCAGUUGGCCUGAAUUGAAGGUGCCAGGAAAACAAAGAUGUCUGUUAGGGGAACUGAAGAGUAACUGAAGUUUUGGCAAGUUCAUUGAACAAUUCCCAACCUGCCAUGCUGAUAGGAAUGCUGAAAUAACACAAAUAUUGAAGCUAACCAGUGGAGAGCAGUCCUCGCACUGCUUACGGAACGAGUGUCCGGUAAGAAGUGGACAACGGAAUGGCGAUGGUACAGAGUUGUUUAUUGCUGUCUCUAUGGUAACCUGCAGAAUGUGAGGAAGGGGUUGGAGAAUAUUCGAAUCAGAAACAGAUGAUGUCAUCAUGGAAGGUGGAAGAGCAGCCCAGGGGUGAGAAAAGGGCCAUCAGUUCACCAUACCUGGUUGACAAUUCAUCUUCCCAGGCUCCUCACCAUUUUUUAAACACGGUCAUCUGAAUUUUCCUUUGGGGGUUUGUUUGAAUGGAAGACCAAUGUAUUAUUAUUAUUUCCUUAUUAAGUGCUUGCUCCAUAUUCUGUUAGGAUCAAGGCACUUGUAGCUGAGUCUCAUCAUGUUAAGUAUUUGUCCCUUCCAAUCCACUCUUGUACACAGCUGUACUUGCACCCACAAAGAUCUCACACAUUCACUCAGUUGACACUCUGUUGUUAAGGAGCUCUAAGAAAGUAAUUUGAGGGAGUCUGAGUCAAACAGUCUGAGAAGAACAGGAGGAAGAGGAAGAGGAGCCUCUCAUUUUCUGUAUUGUUUUGUUUUUUGCUUUCUUGCUUCCUGCUUCCACCAGGGUAAUACCACCUGUCAAACACUGUAGGAAUUUCAGCCUUUUAGCUCUUGUGAUUCUGGAGGUACUGUAUUAAGAUGCAGCACUGCUCUUUUUGUAACCUGGGAAAUAAGAUACUGCAAGGAAGAGGCACAUACAGUAUGAGCUCCUAAGAAUCAAUGAAACAGCUAGAGGCAUGGAACACAACAGAUUGUUGUUGCUGCUGCUGCUUUUUUAUAGAGUACAUCACUGGUCCACACUCUCUUCGUAUUGUUAGUCUCCAGCGUGACCAAUGGUCACAGAUGAUGGGAGCUGUAGCACAAUGACAUCUGGGUGGCACCAUGUUGACAUCCCCUGCUCUACUUUCUGCGCUGUCUUCAAAACAUUAAAUGGUAAAGUGAA